UCUCUCUCUCUCUCUCUCUCUCUCUCUCUCUCUCUCUCUCUCUCUCUCUCUCUCUCUCUCUCUCUCUCUCUCUCUCUCUCUCUCUCUCUCUCUCUCUCUCUCUCUCUCUCUCUCUCUCUCUCUCUCUCUCUCUCUCUCUCUCUCUCUCUCUCUGUGUGCGUGUGUGCAAGCGCGGCAUUCGGGUAAGAAAUGAGGAUUCCUGUGACCGCUAAACGAAACUCAAUAGAUUACAUCAGUUCGGGACGAUGCGUGACUCUUGCUGACACAGUUAUAAACACAUAAGCACAUGAAAGUGUCUCAGUUGCUGUAACACCAGGAACCAGAGAACAGAAGAAACGAUACACCACAUCUUGACUGUUUGGCGCCAAACAGAAUGGAGAAACAGAAGGAGGGAGAGGAGGGGUAUGAGAAAAGAGCAGCGCCUGAAAGAAUCAUCUCGCUUUCAUUAACUCUGCAUGUCGCUCUUUCCCUUUCUCCUGCUCUGUACACUCCAUCUCUUUCUGUCUCUCUGUCUCUUUCUUGCUCAUUUUCACACACACACACACACACACACACACACACACACACACACACACACACACACACACACACACAGAGAGAGAGAGAGAGAGAGAGAGAGAGAGAGAGAAAAUUAAUGCACACACAGUGAACAACAUGCAAAUGCAGUGAAUUACUGUAGACUUGUGCAUAAUAUGCUGUGCACCAAAAAUAAUAGAAAACACAUUAAAACAAAUCAACAUAAUAAUUACUGUUAACUGAACCUGACGAGCUACUUUACAAUCGUAAAAAAAAGAAGCUGUCUACAAGUUGUGGAAUGUAGAUACAGCUGUAAGAAAAAGUAAAUGGCCUGCACUUAUAUAGCGCUUUUAUCCAAAGAGCUUUACACUGUGUCCCAUUCACCCAUUCACUCACACACCAAUGGUAGCAGAGUUGCCAUGCGAGGCGCUAACAUGCCAUCGGGAGCAACUUAGGGUUCAGUGUCUUGCCCAAGGACGCUUCAGUAUGUGGAGUCAUGUGGGCCAGGAAUCGAACCACCAACCCUACGAUUAGUGGACAACCCUCCCUACCUCCUGAGCCACAGCUGCCCAUGUGUAUGUGAAUUGCAUUGCAUUUCCUCCUACAAAAAAGUGUGCACAUCUUUAAAUUAAUUCUAUUACUUAAACAAUGGCAGUCCAAACAACCAUGGCUUCUCAGAAAAAUGUGUUCUAUAGCUGUGAAGAAAGGACAUAAAUCUGUUUCAAAUUACACACAGCAUGCAUUAUCUAUGGCCAAGCAUCUGUUAUAUGCAUUCUAAAAUACUGUUCCUAUAAGAUGCUCUUUUGUUGAUUUUCUCCUUUGCUUUAGAUCAUUUGUCAUGUUGUAUGAUCCAGUCUUUUCUGAUUUUUAAAUGACACACAUACAUGGUAUUAUUUGUAGCAUAUAAGAAGACUUUUUUUAUAAGAAGAAAAUUCAUUAGCCCCUUAGUGAUUGCACACUGCUUUGCCCCAAACCAUUAUACAUCAUCCACCAGGCUUCAUAGUUGUGAUGUUGAUUUGGUGUUUGGUAUGCAGUGAUUUGUUUUAAUUUGCAGUACUGCUUAGGAUUUUUUUAGAGCAUCAGUCUCCUUUUCUGUAUUACCCUCCAAGAAUCACCACUCUUGUUCUUUGUUGUUCUUUUUAUAAUAACAAACAUAUUUUUUGGCACAUACUUGUCUGUCUAGAUUCUGUGUCAUUUGUUUGAGGAACCAUUUUUGGACAAAAUGACUGAUUAGGGACUUCUAGAAGCCCAAGGCUUAAAUUCCAUUCCAAAGAGCUUCCACAACCUAUGUUCUGAGGUCCUCUGAAAUAAUAUUUGAGUAGAGCACAUUUCAAAAAAAGAUGCUGUAAAGCAUAAGUAACCAUUUUAUAUAGAAGGUCUGGUCAAGUCAUAAGCUUGGAAAAUCUGAGUCUAUGUACUAUUUUAUCCUAGUGGCUUGAAUCGCUGAUUGUUUAAAUACACUUUAAUAAAAUAUGCCAGUUGUAGGAGAUCACAUUUUUGUAGUCAUUCAUGCAUCAAUACAGAUAUUUCCAAAUGCUUUUUUCUCCCAAAGGCAGGAGCCCAUUGGUUUAAUUUUGGAAUAUGACACUGGUGUUAAUCUCCUCCCCACAGGGAUGAAAUGCAUACACAGAGGUUCCAUUACAGACUAUUCAUUAAAGCCCAGUACGAUGCAUGCUGAAUGGGGGAUUACUGGCCCUCUGAUUACACCACCGAUCUGUACCACUCCCCCAAGCCAAGUACUGCUGACCUCACCCAUUAAGGAGGAAAAGAGGGGAAUUGCAAAUCAAAAAGCCUCAAGAUAACUAAUGAAAGGGAACACUUGCAAGUUAAAUUAUUGAUUGGCAGAGUAAAUAAAUUUGGCUUUAAUGAACCCCAAUUGGUGGAAAUCCUCAACUCGGCCAGCACACGUAAUGGCCAAAUUGAGGAUUACACCCAAUCCAUGGUGCAAUGGAAGAGCAAAAGCUGAUAGCUGUAAAGUGUCCAUUUUCAGAUCUGUUUGUGUGUGUUUGUCUGCUACACAUCUUUACCAGUGAUAGAGUGAUAUCUUUAUCGGUCCACUCUGUCGUGCACAUGCUAUACAGCUUUCUAGAAAAGUCAGCACAGAUUCCUCUGUGAUUACACAUGAACAAGAAGCUAGGGCAUGACAUCAGGCUACAGUUUAGAAAAUUUAAAUCAGAUGAAAAAAAGAUUUCUUCAUGCCUGAACAUGGAGUGCAGUAGAUGGGAAUUUAACAUGACUACAAAUGCAAGUAGCCUGGCUAUUCCCACUGAUGACUUGCCUUCCUGGGUUAAUGACAAAUAUAAACUGAGAUUAGGGAAAAGAAAUUAAGAUAAAUAAUUGUUUCUUUAAAAACAUUAAUUACACUUUUAAUUGAACUAUGCUUGACAAUAAAGCAAGUUUUAUUAAACCUUAAUUUGUAUUGACAUUUAUAUCAUUAUAUAUCAUUAUAAACAAAUCAUUGUAUAUUAUCAUUUAUUGUUUAUAUUCCUACCACGGUACUGUUAAUUGCUUGAUUUUGAUUGGCCAGAAAGUGUUGACUAAUUUUCUAUGACAGUAGUUCUGGUUGCAAUGUUUAUAUUAAUGCACACAUUGAAAUUCUUUCUAUUCUAAUGACUAAUACAAGGACUUAUGGCAGAUGCUCCACAUAAACAGGCUAAUAUGUGUGUUUUCUCUGAGGAAUCAAUUAAUUUUUGGAAGGAGUCUUUAGUGUCAGCACUUCAUAACCAUCACAGGUAAAGCUAUAACUUUAAGCUUUCUGACAUGGGAAAGUCCUCAGGACAAAAAUGCUUCCUUGUCUUAAUAAUUUCAGGAGAGAAAAAAAGAGGCUGAUGAGGGAACAGCUCUUAUAACAUACCUUUUUGCCGAUGUUCCACAACAUUAAAAGUAACUAUAAAUACUAUGCUAUAAAAAAAGCAUGAGAUGUUGUUCUUUAAUAAAUUGCUGUGAUAUAACAGCAAUACAACACUUUGGAAUAUGCAGUUAUUGAAAAAUUAUCAACUUAAAAAAACAAUACCUACUACCCCGUCAUUGAUUAUUACACUGUAACAACCCACCCAAUCAUGUGUAAUGCCUUACAUAAUAUAUCAAAGUAAAGGAAAACUACUACUUGCAGCCUAAGGACCUGGUUGUGUACCAAGUGUUCCCAGGAUAGGAUCUGGAACCUGACCAGAAUGAAGCAGCUACUGAGGAUUUUUUUCUGAAAAUUGCUUAUCUUAGGUCAUGAUCAUUGGCACAUUUUUGUGCUCCUGUGAUGUUCUUUUGCUCUGAGCAGGGAAAAUGUUCUCUCAGAGCUUCCAUCCUAGCUCCCUCUGGUGGCUACAACAGUCAGGAAGGAUUUAUAGCCCUCAACUCCCACUUUAAAACACCACCUGACAAAAACUCAUUGCUGAUGUAGUGCAAUAAAAUAACUGAAUCAAAUAUAUAAUAUAACAAUUUAAACUAAAUCAAAUAUAUAAUAUAAUAAGUAAAGAUUUGCCAAGUUCUGUAUAUUUGCAGUCAGUAUGUUCAAGACUGUACAUGGAUGAUCUUGAGUGAGUCAUGUAGACAUUACCUAACAUUACCUGACACAAAGUGAACAGUCUGGUCCUGCAUUAUAUCUGACCACUCUCCCUCCCUCCUCAAGCAGAAGCAUAAAGAUGCUAAGGGAGCUGAGAAGUUCUAAAGGCACCAUCAGGUUUCAGCCUCCAGCCACACAUACACACCCCGCCUGAAUCAUUCAGAGUCUCCAGAUCGAAAUGUCUUGUGACUGGCCCCUGAGCAAGCCGCACAGUGCCUGGGCUAGGGGCAAGCAGAUCACACAGAGGAAACACAUGUUCACUGUCAGUAUGAAGCCCAGGAGAAGACUAAGACAACCUUUUAACCCCUUUCCAUGUAACACACAUACAAACAUACACACAGAGCAGCCAACCCAGUCAAGUCUGCCCUGUAUUAUUCAUGAUAAAAUACAUUCAUAUACCAAUACUAUGAGUAUCUGGAAGCAAUAUACAGAGAGCAUAUAUAAGAGAGUAUACAUCGAUAUGUGUAUAUUGUGUACUAAUAGAAACAUAAACAGAAACACAUAAGAAGAGAUAGCUCAUUUGUCCAUAUGGCUUAUUCUGUACUGCAAUGAGGACAUUCUGUUCUUGAAGCUUAACCAAUUUGUCAUGUCCGGGCAAACUAAGAACUCCAUUUCCCAGAACGCACCGAAAACUACAAACGUGGCCGAUGACUACAACUCACAAAGUAACACACAGACUCCUGAGGACUAAUCAGACACACCUGUUCCCAAUCACACUCACAAUCACACCACACCAUAAAAGAGACUGCUCAUUCGCAAUGUCUUUGCGAAGUAAUAUGCUCAGUUGCUAUUGUCUCUUUCAUUUACCAAGCCUUGCUAUCGUGUUGUUAUUCUGGUUAUGAUUCUGCAUUACCCUUGACCUUGAUUUCUGCCUUACCUGCUUUAGCCUGUUGGUUGCCUGACCUCUGCCUGUCUUUGUUGUUUUUGCUAUGCCUUCUGGAUUAUAUGCUCUUCAA